AAACCAACAGAGAUUGCCUUAGUAGCGGCGAGUGAAGCGGCAAAAGCUCAAAUUUGGAAUCUGCCAGCAAUGGCCGAGUUGUAAUUUGUAGAUGGUAACUCUGUAAGGAGUCUUUGCUCAAGUUUUCUGGAAAGGAACAUCAUGGAGGGUGACAAUCCCGUGAGGCAUUGACGUACUUGCGUGUAGAGUGCUAUCAAAGAGUCGAGUUGUUUGGGAAUGCAGCUCAAAGUGGGUGGUAGACACCAUCUAAAGCUAAAUAUUGGCGAGAGACCGAUAGCGAACAAGUACUGUGAAGGAAAGAUGAAAAGCACUUUGAAAAGAGAGUGAAAAAGUACGUGAAAUUAUUGUUAUGGAAGGGUAUAAAAUUGGACAUGAAGUAUUGAGUUCGGCAGUCUCUCAGGGAUUGUUUUGUCUCUUUGUUUCGCACCAGCAUCAGUUUUGGCAGGAGGAUAAACAACUUGGAAUGUAGCUGCUUGCAGUGUUAUAGACUUGUUGCAUACUCUUCGCUGGGACUGAGGUCAGCCUUUGUAGGAUGCUGGGGUAACGAUUUUAUACCA
rnacentral:rRNA from 1 species